UACGUAGGGUGCAAGCGUUAAUCGGAAUUACUGGGCGUAAAGCGUGCGCAGGCGGUUGUGCAAGACCGAUGUGAAAGCCCCGGGCUUAACCUGGGAAUGGCAUUGGUGACUGCACGGCUAGAGUGUGUCAGAGGGGGGUAGAAUUCCACGUGUAGCAGUGAAAUGCGUAGAGAUGUGGAGGAAUACCGAUGGCGAAGGCAGCCCCCUGGGAUAACACUGACGCUCAUGCACGAAAGCGUGGGGAGCAAACAGG
rnacentral:rRNA from 1 species